rnacentral:rRNA from 1 species
AAUAGAUACCCUGGUAGUCCACGCUGUAAACGAUGAGGACUAAAUGUUGGUAGGGGAACCUAUCGGUAUUGAAGCUAACGCGAUAAGUCUUCCGCCUGGGAAGUACGGCCGCAAGGUUGAAACUCAAAUGAAUUGACGGGGGCCCGCACAAGCGGUGGAGCAUGUGGUUUAAUUCGAUGCAACGCGAAGAACCUUACCUACCCUUGACAUCCUGCGAAUCCCGAUGAGAGUUGGGAGUGCCGCAAGGAGCGCAGAGACAGGUGCUGCAUGGCUGUCGUCAGCUCGUGUUGUGAGAUGUUGGGUUAAGUCCCGUAACGAGCGCAACCCUUGUCCUUAGUUGCCAGCAUUAAGUUGGGGACUCUAAGGAGACUGCCGGUGAGGAACCGGAGGAAGGCGGGGACGACGUCAAGUCAUCAUGGCCUUUAUGGGUAGGGCUACACACGUGCUACAAUGGGGCGUACAGAGGGUCGCGAACCCGCGAGGGGGAGCCAAUCUCAUAAAGCGUCUCGUAGUCCGGAUUGGAGU